rnacentral:lncRNA from 1 species
CUUACGUGAACUGUGAUUGGCUCGCGGGAGCCUGAAUUUAAAGGCACCGCGCCGUCUAGGGGCUGGAGUAAGGGAAGAGGUCUGUAGAGUUCGUUGCGGAGUCAGAUCACUCAGGUAGGUUUGUUUGUUUGUUUAUUUGUUUAUUUAUUUAUUUAUUUAUUUAUUUAUUUUCUUUCAGAUAUGCGCUGGAAGAAACUGAGAAAUUACCUAGCCUAGUCCUGGUCAUCCGCUACUUUCAGGAGCCCAAAGAGAUUGAGUCACUAGCUCAACUCCACACUAUACUCUUCCAGAGACUAGGAAAGAGUCUCCAAACCCUGGAGCUAGCUGAGACAGCUUCAGAUUCCACAGCAGCCCUAUCUCUCGCCACUACCUCCCUGCCCCAGCAGAGAAGGAGAGCAAAGGAAACUAACAUUUACUGAAUGCUUACUACACCCAAGGUAAUUUUACAUUCCUGACCUCUAAUUCCUAAAAAUUGAUGCCACGGGAUAUGGGGUCAUUAUUCCCAAUUUAUAGAUAAGAAACAGGCUUAGAGGGCUGGGGAUUUAGCUCAGUGGCACUGUGCUUGCCUU